AUUGAACGCUGGCGGCGUGCCUUACACAUGCAAGUCGAACGGCAGCACGAGUGGUUUCCCCUUGUGAUGAUUGGCGCACGGGGGUGUGUUACAUCGGGACAUGUCCUGUAUUAGGGUGUAGCCCGUCCGAAACCGGGUUAAUACCGCCUGCUAACUACGUAAGAAACCGGGGUCCAUUCUGGCAGCGCGCCAUACGGUCACCCGAAGGUUGAUUAGCUAGUUGGUGGGGUAAAGGCCUACCAAGGCGACGAUCAGGAGCUGGUCUGAGAGGGAGACCAGCCACACUGGAACUGAGACACGGCCCAGACUCCUACGGGAGGCAGCAGUGGGGAAUUUUGCACAAUGGGCGAAGGCCUGACCCAGCAAUGCCGCGUGUGUGAAGAAGGUCUUCGGGUUGUAAAGCACUUUUGUCAGGAAAGAAAUUCUUUGUACUAAACUGGUCGCGGGAUGACGGUACCGGAAGAGUAAGCAACGGCUAACUACGUG
rnacentral:rRNA from 1 species